GGAGAGCCCCUCUUGUACUGUGUAAUUAGAGCGCUUUGGUGAGCCCCUUGAGCGGGCGAACUGAGAGAACUGUCAAGCUAUUUGUCAACAAGUUUAUUUGUAAAUAUUGAGAGUUGCUUUUUGCUGACCCAGCAACACCAAAAAUCGACUCGGUCGUGAUAGAUUCCCGGAUUUGGCCCGCCGACAGAUCUAGGGAUUUAAAGGCUUGAUCGACAACGAUCGAGGACACUCCGUUGGUCAAUUGAAAACCGGAUUGACCAACAAUAAAAAUACAAUUACAAUUACAAUUACAAUUGGUACAGGAAACGCUGUGGCGGACCGCAAAACGCGUCUCGCCGAAGGAUGAAUUCGCGAAAUUCGAAGCGCAAAUUAAGGACUUCCAGGAGUUCCGCUAAGGUGAAAAGCAGAAAAUCGUCCACGCGUUUCACAUCAUCGAUGCAAUGCUCCUGGGUGAUCUGGAAGUUCUUUCUCGAUUGACGGCGCCAGUGCUCGAAAACGACUUCAAGCGUUUCAAUUGGGUGGAAACUAAGCAGUUAUACAUUCCACAAGGAACGCUCUUCAUGCGGAGUGUGCAGACCGAUCUGAAGGGAGCCGAGAAGCAGCUGGAUUUUUGGAAGGCUUUCGGCAGCCGGAUCCUGUGGCUACUCGUCGACGCAGCGGUUCAACGCUCCCAAAGAACUGAACUCGGUCUACCGGCAAGAUUUCGAUGUGUUCAUUGAAAAAUGCGUCGAUAAGAAGUAACGUGAAGUGGCACUAGGCGUAAAGUAUACCUUUAGUUUCGGAAGUAAAUACGCAGUUCAAUUUGAAUUUCAGUAUGUUUUAAGAUACUGUUCGAUAAAUGUUGUUUGGUCUACUUGACUUAAAAUAAAAGCUACUGUACCCAAUGAAUAAGUAUAAUCUACGCAGGGGUUGUCCAUAUAUGGUUUUUGACCCCAUUUCCGGCACUCAACGAAACGACCGUUUUCUUCCACUUCUUUCAUCUGAAUCAGAUACCUUAUUGCGUGAACUU